rnacentral:tRNA from 1 species
GGCUCCAUAGUGUAAUGGUCAGCACGUCUGCUUUACACGCAGAAGGUCCUGGGUUCGUGCCGCAGGUGGAGCCA